rnacentral:miRNA from 1 species
GGCCCUUGGCAGCGCUCUGACUA